rnacentral:rRNA from 1 species
AAACUUUCAACAACGGAUCUCUUGGUUCUGGCGUCGAUGAGGAACGCGCCGAAAUGCGAUAAGUAAUGUGAAUUGCAGAAUUCAUGUGAAUCAUCGAAUCUUUGAACGCACAUUGCGCCCGCUACUAUUCUGGCGGGCAUGCCUGUCCGAGCGUCAUUU